UAUGCACCGUACUACUGCUAUUGUGACGUACUGGAGAUCGAAGCCCUUUUUCAGAAGAGAAGACGAACACACCAGUGACACCACACCUGUUCGGAACUUCGGAAGUGUGAUUAGCAGGAGGAACAGAAAUACCCAUCUCGGAUUAUCAUUCAAGCCGGAUUUUUUGCUUCAUCCACGUUUUAUGUUCUCCAGUGCGAAGCUGCAUCAUCUGUGGUAGCCCUGACAAGAGUUGCAAGGAGAUAAAUACGGCAGGUUUCCGAAAAUCAACCUUGAUGAGGUCUUGAUGACUCAGAGGGACUGGAGGAAAAUAUGGCCGCCAUGCGUUGCCGUCGGGGCUGGCACCUUCUACGUAGAACAUUGCAAAGGAGAACUAGGAUAUUCUCAACGAAGAAAAUAAGCUUUUAGAAGCUGGUAAUCUACUUCAAAUCAGAGAAAAUGCAACAAGAGAACCACAGGACAUGAAGCAAGUAAUUCUAUGCAAAGAAAUCGGGACCUCUUCACCUGCAAGAGAACCACAGGACAGAAGCUGGCAAUCCUGUGCAAAAAAAACAAGAAAUCGGGACAUCUUUCCUAGCAAGAGAACCACAGGACAUGAAGAUGGUAAUCUAGUGCAAAAAAAGAUAACUGUGACCUCUUCACCAUCAACUAAGAAAAUAAGAUUUUAGAAGCUGGUAAUCACGAGUAACAGGAAGAUCUUUCUUUUCUGGACACAACUUAUUUUUAAAUAAAUAAUUAAUAAUU